rnacentral:rRNA from 1 species
ACCGGAUGAUGUCUUCGGACCAAAGAUUUAUCGCCCAAGGAUGAGCCCGCGUAGGAUUAGGUAGUUGGUGGGGUAAUGGCCUACCAAGCCGACGAUCCUUAGCUGGUCUGAGAGGAUGAUCAGCCACACUGGGACUGAGACACGGCCCAGACUCCUACGGGAGGCAGCAGUGGGGAAUAUUGGACAAUGGGCGAAAGCCUGAUCCAGCAAUGCCGCGUGAGUGAUGAAGGCCUUAGGGUUGUAAAGCUCUUUUACCAGGGAUGAUAAUGACAGUACCUGGAGAAUAAGCUCCGGCUAACUCCGUGCCAGCAGCCGCGGUAAUACGGAGGGAGCUAGCGUUGUUCGGAAUUACUGGGCGUAAAGCGCGCGUAGGCGGUUACUCAAGUCAGAGGUGAAAGCCCGGGG